AAAAAUAUUUCCAUUUUAGGUGCCCUUUUGAGGGAGAAUAGGGAAGUUCGGCUAAGACCGACGCGGACCCGCCACUGUAUACGAGGAGUUUCGUCAUCACUGGUUUUCUAUACCGGGAAGGUGACGAGUUAAGCAAUGAUUCGUUAGCCAGGAGACCUGCCUAAAAUGUUAACGUCUU
rnacentral:ncRNA from 2 species